rnacentral:tRNA from 1 species
AGCGGGAUGGAGCAGUUUGGUAGCUCGUCGGGCUCAUAACCCGAAGGUCGUAGGUUCAAAUCCUACUCCCGCAACCA